rnacentral:rRNA from 1 species
GACAGCUGGCGGCGUGCUUAAACAUGCAAUCGAGCGGAAAGGCCCUUCGGGGUACUCGAGCGGCGAACGGGUGAGUAACACGUGAGUAACCUGCCCCAAACUUUGGGAUAACCCUCGGAAACGGGGGCUAAUACCGAAUAUUACUUCUGGUCGCAUGGCUGGUGGUGGAAAGUUUUUCGGUUUGGGAUGGACUCGCGGCCUAUCAGCUUGUUGGUGGGGUAAUGGCCUACCAAGGCGAGGACGGGUAGCCGGCCUGAGAGGGCGACCGGCCACACUGGGACUGAGACACGGCCCAGACUCCUACGGGAGGCAGCAGUGGGGAAUAUUGCACAAUGGGCGGAAGCCUGAUGCAGCGACGCCGCGUGAGGGAUGACGGCCUUCGGGUUGUAAACCUCUUUCAGCAGGGACGAAGCGAGAGUGACGGUACCUGCAGAAGAAGCGCCGGCCAACUACGUGCCAGCAGCCGCGGUAAGACGUAGGGCGCGAGCGUUGUCCGGAUUUAUUGGGCGUAAAGAGCUCGUAGGCGGCUUGUCGCGUCGACUGUGAAAACUUGGGGCUCAACCCCAAGCUUGCAGUCGAUACGGGCAGGCUAGAGUUCGGUAGGGGAGACUGGAAUUCCUGGUGUAGCGGUGAAAUGCGCAGAUAUCAGGAGGAACACCGAUGGCGAAGGCAGGUCUCUGGGCCGAUACUGACGCUGAGGAGCGAAAGCGUGGGGAGCGAACAGGAUUAGAUACCCUGGUAGUCCACGCUGUAAACGUUGGGCGCUAGGUGUGGGGGGCCUCUUCCGGUUUCCUGCGCCGCAACUAACGCAUUAAGCGCCCCGCCUGGGGAGUACCG